UACGAAGGGUGCUAGCGUUGUUCGGAAUUACUGGGCGUAAAGAGCGCGUAGGCGGUUGUUCUAGUCAGGGGUGAAAUCCCAGAGCUUAACUCUGGAACUGCCUUUGAAACUGUGCAGCUGGAGUGUGUGAGGGGAUAGCGGAAUUCCUAAUGUAGAGGUGAAAUUCGUAGAUAUUAGGAGGAACACCGGUGGCGAAGGCGGCUAUCUGGCACACAACUGACGCUGAGGCGCGAAAGCGUGGGGAUCAAACAGG
rnacentral:rRNA from 1 species